GUCCCAAGGGUCGGGCUGUUCGCCCGUUAAAGCGGUACGCGAGCUGGGUUCAGACCGUCGUGAGACAGGUCGGUCUCUAUCCGCUGUGGGCGUAAGGGAUUUGAGAGGAGCUACCCCUAGUACGAGAGGACCGGGGUGGACAGACCUCUGGUGUGCCAGUUGUCGUGCCAACGGCAUAGCUGGGUAGCCACGUCUGGCAGAGAUAACCGCUGAAAGCAUCUAAGUGGGAAACUCGCCUCAAGAUGAGAUCCCUCACCCUGAGCGCAAGCGAAGGGGUAAGGCCGCAGGAAGACUACCUGCUUGAUAGGCGGCCGGUGUAAGCGCAGCAAUGCGUUAAGCCAAGCCGUACUAAUGGCCGAGGGCUUAUCCCG
rnacentral:rRNA from 1 species